GGACAGGAUGGCAAUUUACUAAUCAUCUUAAACUGCUUACACCACACACAGCAGAUGAACGCGAACUAAGACCUGAACUACGGAAGGACGGGCCAAGGGGUGGAGACCAGAAUCGUGAACGGAAGCAGGUGACAUGGCAGAGAGAACAGACCGAGAAAUUACAGUUCAUGGGCAAAGGCCAAACACCCAGCCCGAGGCACAAAGGGUCAAGGCUUAGGACUGGGUCUCACCGAAAAACACCCGCAAAUGGUCAGGCCUCUUGGAAAUCAGUCACGAAGCUAAGUUUUGUUGAAUUGGCCAUGGCUUUGGCUUGCAACCAAGAUAAAAUGAGUGAUCGUGGAGAAGAGAUGUCACAUGCUUUUUGCCAGCUUUGGUUCAGGACUCCAAGACUUUCUUCAGGUUCCACGCCCAGCAUGGAGCCCCGCCUGGGGUUUGAACUUGCAAAGCUGAGAUGGAGACCUGAGCUGAGAUCAAGAGUGAGACAUUUAACCAACUGAGCCACCCAGGCGUCCCAGUUUAUGCCUUUUUAAGUUUCUCCACUGAUCAGCAUUAAUUUCUUACGGCCUUGCUGAUUGAACUUGGCCUCUUGCUCUCCCCCCUUACGUUUGCAGUGCCCUAAGAAUCCUCAAGCAGACUUUCUGCUGAGCAUGGACCUGGACUCAGGGCUCCACCCCAGGACCCUGAGAUCAAGACCUGAGCCAAAAUCAAGAGUCGCUGCUUAACCGACUAAACCACGCAGGUGCCCCGAAAUAAAUGGGUUUGAAAACAUAAUUUGAAACGUUAUGAGACCUCUUUAAAAUUGCAUUGGCUGUAAGAAAGCUCUUGCAAACAUCUUUUAUAAGCAUUUCUCUAUGGCCAAAUUAAUUUUCACAUGGAUAUUAAAAUAAACCAUUUUCAGAAAUGGGUUUUCUCC
rnacentral:lncRNA from 1 species